AACGAACGCUGGCGGCAUGCCUAACACAUGCAAGUCGAACGCCCCGCAAGGGGAGUGGCGAACGGGUGAGUAACGCGUGGGAACCUACCCAGCAGUUGGGGAUAACCGCGGGAAACUGCGGCUAAUACCGAAUACGUCCUUAGGGAGAAAGAUUUAUCGCUGUUGGAGGGGCCCGCGUCGGAUUAGCUAGUUGGUGAGGUAACGGCUCACCAAGGCGACAAUCCGUAGCUGGUCUGAGAGGAUGAUCAGCCACACUGGGACUGAGACACGGCCCAGACUCCUACGGGAGGCAGCAGUGGGGAAUUUUGGACAAUGGGCGCAACCCUGAUCCAGCAAUGCCGCGUGAGUGAUGAAGGCCUUAGGGUUGUAAAGCUCUUUUACCGGGGACGAUGAUGACGGUACCCGGAGAAUAAGCCCCGGCUAACUUCGUGCCAGCAGCCGCCGUAA
rnacentral:rRNA from 1 species